rnacentral:rRNA from 1 species
AGCGAACGCUGGCGGCAUGCUUAACACAUGCAAGUCUGACGGGCCGCAAGGUCAGUGGCGGACGGGUGAGUAACGCGUAGGAACAUGUCCAGGGGUGGGGGAUAACGUUGGGAAACUGACGCUAAUACCGCAUGGGAGCUGAGGCUCAAAGCCGCGAGGCGCCUUUGGAGUGGCCUGCGUCCGAUUAGGUAGUUGGUGGGGUAAAGGCCUACCAAGCCUGCGAUCGGUAGCUGGUCUGACAGGACGACCAGCCACACUGGGACUGAGACACGGCCCAGACUCCUACGGGAGGCAGCAGUGGGGAAUAUUGGACAAUGGGCGAAAGCCUGAUCCAGCAAUGCCGCGUGGGUGAAGAAGGUCUUCGGAUCGUAAAGCCCUUUCGACGGGGACGAUGAUGACGGUACCCGUAGAAGAAGCCCCGGCUAGCUUCGUGCCAGCCGCCGCGGUAACAC